AUUGAGCGUUGGAGGCAGGCCUAACACAUGCAAGACGAGCGUAGCGGCGGACGGGGUAUUAAUACCUUGGAAUCCGCCUGAUAGUGGGGGAUCACGUUCGGAAACGGACGCUUAUACCGCAUACUAACAGAUGAGUCUAGGUCGGAUUAGCUAGUUGGUGAGGUAAUGGAUCAAAAAUGCUACGAUGCGUAACUGGUCUGAGAGGAUGAUCAGCCACACUGGAACUGAGAUACGGGCCAGAGUACCACGGGAGGCAGAAGUGGGGAAUAUUGUACAAGGGGCGAGAGGUGGAUACAGGCAUGCCGCGUGUGUGAAGAAGGUGUUCGGAUUGUAAAGCACUUAAAGGUGGGAGGCGGUAGCGACAGAGUAAGCACCGGCUAACUCUGUGCCAGCAGCCGCGGUAAUUC
rnacentral:rRNA from 1 species